GAAAAAGUAUGCGAGAACUGCUAAUUCAUGCCNCCACGUAUAAAANCGUGGCUUUUUCA
rnacentral:tRNA from 1 species